UACGAAGGGGGGCUAGCGUUGCUCGGAAUCACUGGGCGUAAAGCGCACGUAGGCGGAUUCCUAAGUCGGUGGUGAAAUCCUGGAGCUCAACUCCAGAACUGCCUCCGAUACUGAGAGUCUCCGAGUCCGGGGAGAGGUGAGUGGAACUGCGAGUGUAGAGGUGAAAUUCGUAGAUAUUCGCAAGAACACCAGUGGCGAAGGCGGCUCACUGGCCCGGUACUGACGCUGAGGUGCGAAAGCGUGGGGAG
rnacentral:rRNA from 1 species